rnacentral:rRNA from 1 species
UACGGAGGGUGCGAGCGUUGUCCGGAAUCAUUGGGCGUAAAGGGCGCGUAGGUGGCCACUUCAAGCGUGCGGUGAAAGUCGGGGGCUCAACCCCUGAUCGGCCGUGCGAACUGGGGGGCUGGAGCACUGUAGAGGCAGGCGGAAUUCCGGGUGUAGCGGUGGAAUGCGUAGAUAUGCGGAGGAACACCGAUGGCGAAGGCAAUCCCCUGGGCCUGCACUGACGCUCAUGCACGAAAGCGUGGGGAGCAAACAGG